rnacentral:lncRNA from 10 species
GGAGAGUAAAGAGAAGGAAGAAAGCCUUACCUUAACAGAAGAAAAGCAAGAUGUGUGCUUCAUCAGCUUCCCUUGCAGCUAGAGCGGCCACAUGAUAUGGUCUCAUCUAAAAAAGUGUCAGAAGAAGUCUCCUGGGGAGCUUCAGAUCAAAGUAAAGAAGUACAUGAAGAGAGUUUGUCACUGUCCCGUGUGGGUGCAAUGCCUGGAGCCAUGGCAGCCAUCUUGAGAUAACAAGGGGAAAACCAAGAGAACUGGAGAGAUGUGGACCCAAUGGACCAUCCAGAUAUCUGGACACUGAGCUACUGCUGAAGCCACGCUGCAAGGGUGUACCCCUCAGACUUCUCAAUACGGAAACAACAGACAUCCUUGUGAUUUAAGCCGCUGCUUGUUUGUUAUUUGCUCCACGAAUCUUAACUAAUGAAGGAAUUGUAAGGAAUGAGACUGGAGGGUCUAACGGGGCCUAGAUUAUGCAGGGCCCUUAAAGGCAGCUGGGGUAAGUGAAGGAUUUUACAUAGGAAAGGGAAGCUCAGGUUUAAAGAAGGUAAGUCACUACCCAGAGUCCUACUGCUAAUAGGUGUCAGAGCUGAGAUUUGCAGAGACCCUCCAAGUGGAGUCCAAGUCCCUUCCUACCACUCUGUAGGGCAAUUUGCCUCUACAACCAAAUGGCCCUAGUCAAUCCUCACAAGAGGAUUCUCUUGGCCUAUGGGUCAUUUCUAACUACAUGCUGGAAAAGCUGAGAUUUGGCCAAAUCUUCCUUAUUUGGAAUCAGAUCUGUGAUCUUCAGAAACAAGAAGACUUGAGGAGGUAUGUAGGGACAUGGGAGAAGGUGCAAAGUUGAGAGAUGGUAUGGAUGAAUUGAACUUGGGGAAAAGACUCACAAAGACACAAGGCAUGGAGGAAAUUACAAACAGAAGGAUGGUGCCAACCCUUCCACCAUCUUGGUUUCAUUGUCUGAGAAGAAAGUGGGAACCCCAGCAUCCUCUCCUGCCUCUCCAGGGUCUGCACCUGUCUGACUCCAUUGCACCACAGGCAUCCAGGAGGCCCUGAACUCCUCAGGGCCACUGCAGGGUCUCACUCAACCACUCUCUCAGAGUCAGGCUCACUGCGUGCCACAGAAUGGGUCCUUAGUCAGCAUCUGCCCUGUAUGGACUGAAACUUGAGACAAAGCAAAACUAGGGUGAGCUCACCUCUGGGGUGGGCACCUCCUCAAAAGACAGGAUCACAGGUCAUCCCCAUUUUUUUCUCUCCCAGGUUCUUUCAGCUGAACAGACCCAUCCACACAUCUCUUCCCCCAACAAAAACCACAAACCUUUUCCAUGAUUCUAUUUCAGGAGAUUCAACUUAGUUUAAUAGUUCAGAGUGCUAGUUCUGAAAACCAAACUGCCCGGCUCUGCCACUUACUAGCUGUGUGAUUUUGGGCAAAUAGUUUAACAUCUCUAUGUCUCUGUUUUCUCAUCUGUUGCGUAUAGUACCCACUUCGUGUGGACUGUGCUUGUGAGAGUGAAGUGAGUUCAUUCAUAGACAAUCCUGACAUACACCAAGCACGUGAUGAACGCUGUUGUGAUUAUUUAUGAUUAUCCUGACUCAGGACCUUGCCCCUCAUGCCGAGCCCACUUCAGCUUAUAGUACUCAUAGCACAUGCAUCUCAGAGAGGUGUCCACAGAUUUGAAAUCCCUUUUUUUGCUCCAGCAAUUUGAAGCCCAGCAUUCCCGUUUAAAUCCUGACUUAGCCAGCCCCUCAGGGCCCAGGUAGGACCAGCCUGACUGCACACUACCCUGUCAUCCCCGGGCUUGUCCCCCAUCUCCUGCCCUCUCUGUGCACUAAUGGCUGGGGAGCUAAGGGAGGGCAGUGUGCCCUGGCAGGCCUGGCCACGCUGAGCCUUGUUUGUGUAUUUCCACCUUCAUGCUUCAGUUGCUGUCGCCCCUGACUCAUCAGUUAGUUAACAAGCUCCAGAACUGUUCCUCCUCCUUGGGACAUCUCAUCACACAGCCCAUCUAGCCAGUGAGAGUGUGGGCUCCAGCGGGGUGCUUCUGAGGGAGAAGCUGUCUUGUCUGUUCUUCUGUGAUUCUGCCCUUCCUUCCUCAACGCUCUGAGACCAACUCAAAAGCAAAGUCACUGUCUUUCUUUUGCAGUGUGUGCAUGUGUGUAUGUGUGUACUCAUGCGUGUGUGUGUGUGUAUAGGCUUUUGCUCUUCACAGAAAGAAAUCAUGAGCCAUCUGGCUGGCUGAUCAAGAAGGUUAUUAUUUUUAACAAUAAUAGCAGAAGCUCACAUUUACUGAGCAUUUACUAUAAACCAGCAUUUUAUGUGAAUUAACUUGUAGAAUGUUCUAAAUAACCUUGGGAAGUCAGGUGCUUUUGAAAAUCACUGUUUUACAGACAAUAAGAGUGCAGCUUAGACAAUAACUUGCCCAAGUCAUGCAAAUACUAGUAAGUGACAAAGGCAGGAUCUGACUCUAGCCUGUUCCACUCCAAAACUGUACCCUUAAUUGGUGCUUUGAACUUUUUGGUACAUACAAAUCACUUUGAAAACCUGACGCAAGUGCUGAUUCAGUAGAUUUGGGUUGGGGCCUAAGAUCUAGCAUUUCAAAGAAGUGUUCACAUCAUGUUGAUGCUAACCAGUCUGAGCAGACACUUUAAGCCAUGUUGAUCUAGAUCACCCUAUUGUUCCUUCUGACCUGUUAGGAUGACUGCAGGGUGUUCAGUUAAAUUUUUUCCAGGAAGGAAUCUCCUGAAAUAGAAUCAUGGAAAAGGCUUGUGGCUAGAGUCCUGGGUUUGAAUUUCAGCAACCAUUUAGUUCUCAUGACCUUGGGCAACUUCUACUUUUAGAAACUCAGUUUCCUUAUCUUCAGAAUGAGGAUAAUAGUAUCCACUGGCAGGUGAUUGCAAAAGAGUAGAUGUGAAAAUGCCCAUGAAAAAGGGCUCUGCAGACUGUACCAAAAGUUCAGCUAUUAAAGCCAUUUGUUGUUAAAUAAUAAUAUCAUUACUAUAAAAACUCCUGAUUGAAUGGGCAGUGGGGAGGGUCUUAUGUUGCCGUCAUUCCAUUUUUCAUUCAUUCCCAAACUUUUUUUUAAAACCAUCUACCUGAUGACCAAGGGUAAAGAGAUUCAUCACAGUGUUUUAUUUAUAGAGACCUUCACUACCUCAGCCUCUGAGCUCUGUAGGACCCUCUGUGAAGUGUUGUUUAAUACCCACAAAGCAAUUCUUCCAAGCCCCUUCCAUCUUUGGCAAAAUAGAUGAAACAGGAUUGGAUCUCCCCCACCUCAAAAAAAGAGAUCACAAGGAGAGCAGGAAGACCAAGCAAAGCUAACGCCCACUUCUGAAUUCCCA